rnacentral:lncRNA from 1 species
UUCAAUAUGCAAUUUAAGCUUUAGCAAUGUUUCUUUAACAAAUGUGGGUGCUUUUGUGUUUGAGGCAUAGAUGUUCAGAAUUGAUAUAUCAUCUUGAGGUUUUGUUUGUUUCCUUUCAUGAGUAUGAAUUGUCCUUCACCAUCUCUUUUGAUUAAUUUUGGUUGAAAGUCUAUUUUAUUAGCUAUAGGAUGGCUACUCCAGUGUGAUUCUUGCAUUUAUUUGCCCGGAAAACUUUUUUUCUAGUCCUUUUCUCUGAGGUAGUAUCUAUCUUUAUUGCUGAGGUAUGUUUCUUGUAUGCAGCAGAAUGAUGGAUACUGUUUUUUUAAAUUUAUUUUUAUUUUUAGAUAUUUUCUUUAUUUACAUUUCAAAUGUUAUCCCCUUUCCUAAUUUCCCCUCUGAAAAUCCCCUAUCCCCUCCCCACUCCCCCUGCUUACCAACCCACCCACUUCCAUUCCUGGUCUUGGCAUUCCCCUAUACUGGGGCAUAGAGCCUUCACAGGACCAAGGGCCUCUCCUCCCAUUGAUGACAGACUAGGCCAUCCUCUGCUACAUAUAUAGCUAGAGUCACAAGUUCUACCAUGUGUUUUCUUUGAUUGGUGGCAUAGUUCCAAGGAGCUCUGGGGGUACUGGUUAGUUCAUAUUAAUGUUCCUCCUAUCGGACUUCAGACCCCUUCAACUCCCUGGGUACUUUCUCUGGCUCCUUCAUUGGGGACUUUGUGCUCCAUCCAAUGGAUGACUGUGAGCAUCCACUUCUGUAUUUGCCAGGCACUGGCAGAGCCUCACAGGAGAGAGCUAUAUCAGGGUCCUGACAGGAGGCUCUUAUUGGCAUCUGCCUAGUGUCUGGGUUUGAUGGUUGUUUAUGGGAUAGAUCCCCAAAUGGGGCAGUCUCUGCAUGGCCAUUCCUUCAGUCUCUGUUCUGAACUUUGUCUCUGUAACUCCUUUCAUGGGUAUUUUGUUCCCCAUUCUAAGAAGAAACGAAGUAUCCACACUUUGGUCUUCCUUCUUCUUGAGUUUCACGUGUUUUGCAAAUUGUAUCUUGGGUCGUCUAAGUUUCUGGGCUAAUAUCCACUCAUCAGUGAGUACAUAUCAUGUGUGUUCUUUUGUGACUGGGUUACUUCACUCAGGAUGAUAUCCUCCAGAUGCAUCCAUUUGCCUAAGAAUUUCAUAAAUUCAUUGUUUUUAAUAGCUGAGUAGUAUUCCAUUGUGUAAAUGUACCACAUUUUCUGUAUGAUGGAUAUUGUUUUUACAUCCAUUCUGUUAGCCUGUGUCUUUUUAUUGAGGUCGAGUCCAUUAAUGUUGAGAGAUGUUAAUGAUCAGUGAUUGUUCUUUCCUGUUAUUUUGAUGUUGGUGGUUUUAGUGUGUGUGUGUUUCUGUGUGCUUUCCUAGGUUUUCCUGGUAUAGAAUUCCUGAUUUCCUGUGUUUUAUUGGAUGUAGUUACCCUCUGUGGGUUGGGUUUUCCUUCUUAUACUUUCUGUUGAGCUGGACUUGUGGACAGAUAUUAUUGUUUGAACUUUGAUUUGUCUUAAAGUAUCUUGUUUUAUCCAUCUAUGGUGAUUGAGAGUUUUGCUUCACAUAGUAAUCCAGGUUGGCAUUUGCAGUUUUUUAGAGGUUACAAGAUAUCUCUCCAGCUCCUUCUAGCUUUUAGAGUCUCUGUUGAGACAUCGUGUAUAAUUCUGAUAGGUCUGCCUUUGUAUGGUAUAUGGCCUUUUUCCCUUGCCACUUUUAAUAUUUUUCUAGGUUUUGUAGAUUUUAUGUUUUGAUUAUUAUGUGAUGUGAGGAUUCUUUUCUGGUCCAGCCUAAUGAGUGUUCUAUAAGUUGCUUGUAUGUUUAUAGGAAUCUCUUUCUUUAGGUUGGAAAGAUUUUCUUCUACGAUUUUGUUGAAAAUAUUUUUAGGCCUUGGAGCUGGGACUCUUUACUUUCUUUUAUUCCUAUUAUUCUUAGGUUAGGUCUUUUCGUGGCAUCCCAGAUUUCCUGAGUGUUUCAUGUUAGGAAUUUUUUAGAUUUAACAUUUUAUUUGACUGAUGUAUACAUUUCUUCUAUGCCUGAGAUUCUUUCUUCCAUCUCCCAUAUUCUGUUGGUCCUGUUCUCUUCCCUAGGCUUUCCUACUCUAGGGUUCCCCCAGUUUGUGUUUUCUUUAUUGCUUCUCUUUCCACUUUCAGGUCUUGUAUAGUUUUAUUUACUUUCUUUACCUGUAUAAUUUUAUUUUUCUCUCUAUUUUUAAGGAAUUUGUUUCCUCUUUAAAGGCCUCUAUCUGUUUAAUUGUAUUGCCUGUAUUUCUUUAAAAGAUUUAUUCCUUUCCUGUUUAAAGGGCUCUAUCAUCUUUAUAAGAUUAGAUUUAAGGUCAUUUUCUUAGUUAUAUCCAGGGCUUGCUAGAGUAGGGUAGCUUUGCUCUGAAGGUAUCAUAUCACCCUGGGUUUUGUUGAUUGUGUUCUUUUGAGGUCCUUUAGCCAUCUGGGUGGCUUUGUUCCCUGGAUGUUCCUGUUGCAGUAGGUAGUGGGAAGAGCGAUAACUUCAAUGGUCCUGGUGUUGCAGUUGGUGGGUAUCUGAUGGGUAUGGUUCUAGAUUUAUAGAUCUGUAGGGUUCAGGAGCUACAGGUCCAAUGAAGAUGGGGAGAGAAGGGAAGUCCAGAGGGGAUAGCAGGCUGCUUAGGGCAAAUUGAUGUGUCCCAGGGGACCAUGAUUGAGAUCUCUAGGCUGGAAGACACAGGCUUUUGAGCUGGAUCUUGAAGAAUAGUGGUCAUGAAAAGCUUAGGCCCAGGCAUGGUAGUAUAUAUCUUAAAUUCCAGGAGAUAGAGGCAAGCAGAUUCUGAGGUCAAGGCCAGCCUGAGACAGAGCAAGUUCUAGGUGAAGAAAAUCUUAGGACCAGGCAUGGCCAUACAUGUUGUUAAUCCCAGCAUUAGGAGACAGAGCCAUGAAAAUCUCUGAGCUCAAGGCAUGUCUACAGAGUAAGUUCCAGGACAGGCAAGCUUAAGCAGUGAAGGAGUUGGAAAACAGAAAGCUGGUGAUAGUGUAAUUGAAAAAUGAAGCCAUGUUCCAGCUCCAGCAAGCCAUCAAAUUUGAUGGCUUUCAGCAGCUUUGGCCAUGUGGCUCUGUCUUUACAGUCAAGGGACUAAGGCCAUAAAAAUGCUGACUCAUGGCAUAAUCAAAAGGGAACAUGGGGUAACUGAUUUGGUUGAUAUACAACUCCUAAGGAAGUGUCUUGUGCAUACUAAGACUGGGCUUUGGUCUGUAAGAGAGAACUAUGUUAAGCAGAACACAGCUGUCAGCCUGCAUCCAUCACUGCCUUCAAGUUAUUCAUCUGUUGUUCACAAACACCCCUUCCUCAGGACCCUUUCCUAAGUUGAGGUUGGUCCUCAGCACAUUUGUCUGUCAUAUGUCCUCUGCACAGACUACCAAACUUAGAAGGGAUACUUGGUAUAAUACUCUGCUGUCCUCAUCUAUGAGUUCUUAAUAAACUUAUAAAAUGGAUCUGCACAGUUCUGCUGUGAACUACACCUUGCAAAUAAUCUAAUUGUCCCAGAUAUGUUAGUGGACCUAACAACAAAGUCAGCUGAACACUGGAAUCAUUCUAUACCCGUCACAGCACUCGAUAGAGUUACAAAGCAUGUCCCCAUAAAUUAACUCCCCAGCUUUUUGCUACAUCAGCCUUGUGAUAUGGAUAUUUUUAUACCUAGUAUUCAGAUGGGGAAAUUGAACUGGAGAGUACUUGAGCAACACACUCAAAAAUCACAAAACAAGAUGAUGGGGGAACUUAGAGCCUUGCCCCCUUAACCAAGUAGUUGGCUCAAUGGCUUACAGAUUCUUGUGUGCUUCUGUGUUUGACUCUUCAGGAAAUGAGCCUGAGAAUUAGCAUUUCAAAUGUGUUCUGUGUGAUUAACAAAUAAUCAAGUAAAUCUGGAAAAUUCUAGUAUACAGUAAUUGCCAAACUCAUCAGUUCCCACUUUGACUAGAAUUUGUCUUAAAAAUAAAAACCUUCAGCUUGGUGUAGAGGAGAGAUAGAGGCAGGGAGAUCAUGGGUUUGAGGCAGUGUUGGCUUAUAGUGAGUACAAAGUUAGUCUGAGCUACAUAUGCAACUCUGUUUCAUGACACCAACAGAGCUCAGUGGAAAAGCACUCUCUGUCAUACACAUGGCCCUGGGUUCAAUUCCUAGCAUUGUCAUCUUCAGAAUAAAAGGCUCCAGCCCAGGGUAGAAUCACCCCAAAGAACUGAAAAGUUUGAAUGUAUCUAAACUUUAAAUGAAUUUAAAUUAAAUUUAAAUAAAUUCAAUAUUUUAAAUUUAAAUACAAUUAAAUAAAAUUAAAUGUAUUUAAACUUAGGCCACUGUUCUCUCAAAUGCUCAAAGAAAACCUUUUAUCAUAUAUACAGAUUUACAGUGUGCUCCUGGUUUGCCUCUAGAGGGUCACUGUGUUUACUAGAAAAAGGCAACAUGGUCAAACCAUAGAAGUAUGAUAUUUAGCAGUACAAAGAAGUUGCAGUUGUGACAUCUUUUGAAACCUGUCUGUCCAGAAACAGGGAUGCUAUCUCUAUUGGAAGACUUGAAACCAAGGCAAGGGUCUUAGUCCCUCUCAAGCUUGUAUAAUAACAAUCUCUGAAGAUAGGUACUGUAUAAU